CGCCGGCCGGCUAGAGGCAAAGGCUCCUCCUUCUGAGGCUGCAACGUCAGCGUCAUAAUGUCAUUACAUCAACGUCACAAGUCCGGGAGCCACCCACCUUCUGUUACAACUCCUACGUCAUUCGCCUAGUUCCCUCCCUUUGUGUGCGCGUUGUAUCAUCUUGAGGUCUACCAAGAAGAAGGAUGCCAAGAUCUGUGGGUGCACCGGCUUAUUCUCGGAUUUUGUUCUCACUUGAUUAGUUGUGUUUAGAAGUCAAAGGAGUAACAGCCAGAGGGGCUGAAGAAAUACCAGCUACAUGUUACCUCUGGGAAAAAAGGAUGUGUAUGGACUUGCCAUGCCUUCUGCUUAUUCCUCUUAAAAAAUGGAAUGCACUAUGAAUUUUUCAAAGAAACAGUUAGGUACCACAUCAAAGGACGUGACUGUAAAACCAGCGACCAUCCACGGUUCCAGCCAUGUCAACGGUCACAGAGCCCUGGCAAAGGGCAAUCUUGCUUCUGGGAGAUACUGUGUCCAGGCAGCAAUCUGCCAACGUCAUCGUUUCCUUUUAUGCCAGCUCAUCCAUCACGCAGGAGCUUGGAACAGGAGGACCAUGCAGUCAUCUGUGAUCAUGAACUGAGCCUGACGGGCUCUGCACUAGGGUCCUGGAUGGAGCUCUUUUUCAGAUGAUCGUCUUUUUAGCAGUGUAGAUUUAGAGAUUAGAAAAUGGGACAGGUUGCUUCUCAUGUACAAACGGAAGGCCACUGACCCUAGCUUGCUCAUGAGGCAACAGAAUGAUUAAUGCUGACCUGUCUUUUCCUCCCUGACCUGCUUCCCAGGGGAGGAAGUGCACAUAGCAGUUUGGUCACUGACCAGAGUUCAGAGAGAGAGCAGAACUGUGGGGUUUGUGAUGGGGGAAGAUACUCCCUAAGCAGGGGGCUGCCCCUGAUUGCAAAGCUUUUCUCCAGCUUGGGGAUUUGGCUACACUGCAUGACAAGGGUUGCCACAUGGCAGUCAUACACACUUUUAUCAUUUCAAGUUUGUGCCACCUCAUAUCUCUGUCAAGUUUUGCUUGCUCCCAGUUAGAGGGGGUUAAGAGGCUCAGCCAUUCUGAGAGCCAUGGACGUGGCCAACCUUUCAGCAUCUAACACCAAUCACUAUGAAUAACCUUAAGGUUUCUUAUUCUUUCAUUCCUGAUACCUAGAAAGCAGUACAAGAUUUUGCUUCAGGAACCAUUCACAUGCUCAUUUUCGUAUGAUCAGUGACCUCCUUUCGAACUCUGCACACCUGUACAAUAAGUUUUAGAUUCUCAGAGAAGUUGCAUGAUCUGAUAGUUUUGAGAGAAUUAAAAGGAUUCACAUAAAAGCAGAUAAUUAGCAAUUAUACUAGUAGAUGUCAAAAUACCUGAAAAGUUCUCCGUUCUCUUCAGAUGCCCAAGUAGAAAUCUGAUUCACAUGAUUUCCUUAGCACAUUUGUAAAAUGUGGAUGUGUGUGAAACUGUGUGUGAAACACACACACUUGUUACUCGGAGCACUGCAAGUUGGUUGGACCCUAAAUCAAUCUGUUAAGAAGAGAUAGUAAGAAGAAUGCCUUUCUGCGGCGGUUUGGGGCCACCCCUUGGUUUUGAGAACCAUGCCAGAGAGAGCAAAUGGCCCCUGGGUUAGCAGCCCGCGAGAAAGCAGACCUGCCGAGAGCACAGGCCAGGGCUCGCCUGACGAGGCUUGGCCGUCCUGACACAGAAUUCCCUCCGUACAACCACUCCCUUCUGAGCUAUGCAAAUGCCAUGCAAGCCCUCAGCCUUAAGAAAAAUGAGCACUCGCUUUAAGAAAGAAGGGACAAGUGCUCAAAUGAUCAAUUCCAAAACUAAGCAUAGUACAUGCCUACACACAGUGCCAAGUUAGAUUGUAUACACAAUGUAUAGCAAGAGCAGAAGUUUUACCAUCCAGGGACUUAGGAUCUAAUACUUCUCACAUAAACAAAAGAUGAAAAUAUAGUCUAGCCUUUCUUCUCCUGAGAUUAGACCUCAUAUGUUGGGGGGGCAGUGUAAGUGAGGGAAACAGUGGUUUGAAAUGUGGAAGUCUGCAUCCUGUCACUGUUAUGGUACCAGAGAACUCCGUAUGUCAGUGAUCUACCUAGAGAGCGAGGAGGGUAAUUACGUGCCCUCUAAAUUUCCCUUUCAGCUCCUGGCACUCUGAUUCUAUUGCCUCUCAUUUCCUCUGCUGGCAACAGAAUUCAGGAGAAAUGUGGACAAAGAACCUUCUAUGAGAUGGCUCAGUCAUUCCCAUCAGAGCCAUCCAUUGCGUCAGAGGAGGACAAUGCCCAGUCGCAGAAUCUAGCACAUUAUGGUAGAAAAAUAUCCGUACACAUCCAUGGCCUUUAAAAAUAAAACACUGUGAUAGUAUGCUUGGUGGAUUUCUUCACAUUCCGCCAGUGGGCAGAGGAAUAUAGCAAGGAGCUGACAGGUGUCUCUAACCCUCUUAAUUGGGUACUGAGGAAUUUUGUCACCGAUACUUCUUUGAUAUGUUUUCUUGUCUUUAAUCUCUCCACUUAAGUGAUCUGCUACAAAUAUCUGCACUUGAAAAAGCAAUAGAUAUGCCUAGUAGGUAAAGCAAGAAAUGUCCAUGCCAAAUCAACAGACUUCCCAAAGAAGUAAACUAGGAUUCUUUUCAAGGUGAAUUUCUCAUGAAAUAGAAGAAGGCGUCACAAAAAAAGGGGCCAGAGCACUUCUUCAAUACCGCUGGACCUCGGCUCACACUGACAGCUCCUUCAUCGCCAGAGAGGAUUAUUUUAACCCAUUUCCUUAAGGAUGCUCUGGAUUAUAUUUUGCAAGUCAUUAAUAAAUUCAGACUAAACAGCUGCUAAAUAAAGUUUCUUCACAUAA